CCUACGGGUGGCAGCAGUGGGGAAUAUUGCGCAAUGGGCGAAAGCCUGAUGCAGCGACGCCGCGUGAGGGAUUAAGGUCUUCGGAUUGUAAACCUCUGUUAGCAGGGAAGCACGGUCACUGUGUUAAUCCGCAGUGAAUUGACGGUACCUGCUAAGGAACCACCGGCUAACUCCGUGCCAGCAGCCGCGGUAAUACGGAGGGUGCGAGCGUUAAUCGGAAUUACGGGGCGUAAAGCGCUCGUAGGCGGUCUGUCAAGUCAAGGGUGAAAUCCCCGCGCUCAACGUGGGAACUGCCUUUGAAACUGGCAAGAUGGGAUGUAUGAGGGGGUAGUAGGAUUCCAGGUGUAGGAAUGAAAAUCGGA
rnacentral:rRNA from 1 species